GAGCGUUGUCCGGAAUUAUUGGGCGUAAAGCGCGUGUAGGCGGCUUUGCAAGUCGGGUGUGAAAGCCCUCAGCUCAACUGAGGAAGUGCGCCCGAAACUGCAGAGCUUGAGUGCCGGAGAGGGUGGCGGAAUUCCCCAAGUAGAGGUGAAAUUCGUAGAUAUGGGGAGGAACACCGGUGGCGAAGGCGGCCACCUGGACGGUAACUGACGCUGAGACGCGAAAGCGUGGGGAGCAAACAGG
rnacentral:rRNA from 1 species